rnacentral:siRNA from 1 species
UCGAUAUUUUCAUGCCAC